GACGAACGCUGGCGGCGUGCUUAACACAUGCAAGUCGAACGGAAAGGCCCUGCUUGCAGGUUACUCGAGUGGCGAACGGGUGAGUAACACGUGGGUGAUCUACCCUGCACUUCGGGAUAAGCCUGGGAAACUGGGUCUAAUACCGGAUAGGAGCCAUUUUUAGUGUGAUGGUUGGAAAGUUUUUUCGGUGUAGGAUGAGCUCGCGGCCUAUCAGCUUGUUGGUGGGGUAAUGGCCUACCAAGGCGGCGACGGGUAGCCGGCCUGAGAGGGUGGACGGCCACAUUGGGACUGAGAUACGGCCCAGACUCCUACGGGAGGCAGCAGUGGGGAAUAUUGCACAAUGGGCGCAAGCCUGAUGCAGCGACGCCGCGUGGGGGAUGACGGCCUUCGGGUUGUAAACUCCUUUCGCUAGGGACGAAGCUUUUUGUGACGGUACCUAGAUAAGAAGCACCGGCUAACUACGUG
rnacentral:rRNA from 1 species